GACAGAGGAUGCAAGCGUUAUCCGGAAUGAUUGGGCGUAAAGCGUCUGUAGGUGGCUUUUAAGUCCGCCGUCAAUCCAGGCUCAACCUGGACAGGCGGUGGAAACUACCAAGCUGGAGUACGGUAGGGCAGAGGGAAUUUCCGGUGGAGCGGUGAAAUGCGUAGAGAUCGGAAAGAACACCAACGGCGAAAGCACUCUGCUGGGCCGACACUGACACUGAGAGACGAAAGCUAGGGGAGCGAAUGGG
rnacentral:rRNA from 1 species